AUGGCGCGACGGAGAACCACCGUGUCAUUCACGACGCCGGUAGUAGUGCUCGUUGUGUUGUACAUGCUGAUCGGUGUCCCUGCGGCGCCGGUGAUCGGGAUGCCGGGCUGCGAGACCAGGUGCGGCAACAUGAGCGUGCCGUACCCGUUCGGACUCGGCGCGGACAGCCGGUGCUACAUGCCGGGGUUCAACCUAACCUGCGACCACGGACGGCUCCUCCUCGGCAACCUGCGGGUCAUCGAAUCCAUCGACCCCAAUUUCUACAUGCUGACCGUCGUCCACACCGGCGACGUUCGAACCGACGGCGCGGGGCGCGGCAUUUUUGGUGACGGAGGCGUCCUCGGCGACGACGGGCCGUACGCGCUGUCCUCCGCCGGGAACCAGCUCGUCCUCCUGGGCUGCAACGUGCGGGCGACGCUGAGGAGCGGCAACGUCACCAUGAGCAGCUGCUCCUCCUUGUGCACCAAUGGCUUCGACGCGCAUACGGAGAUGCUGUCCAGGCUGGACACCAGCAUGCUCUGCUCCGGCAUCGGGUGCUGCCAGGCGCGCGUCGUCGUUGACCACGAGGAGCUCGUCCCCGUCACCUCCUACGACGUGCAGCUCGAGUACUUCGGGAGCAACCGCAGCCGCGACGGCGAGCGGUGGCCGCCCCGAGUGUUCGUCGCCAGGGACGAGUGGUUCUCGCCGUGGAGCGUCUCGCAGCAGCUGUCGUCGGACCUGCAGGCCGCUGCGUCAAUGGAAGUUCCUGUUUUUCUCAGCUGGGAGGUCAUCGUUAGGGGUGCCCACAACCAUGGGGAUGACGACGCAGACGCUGGUUCCUUGCCGGCCUGGGAGUGUCCUAGGGACGCGGCCCGCAUGGUCUGCAAGAGCAACCACACUGGGUGCACAAAACGUGAAAGAGGCGGCUACACGUGCUACUGCAAAACGGGCUACGAGGGCAACCCCUACAUCACCAACGGAUGCCAAGACAUUGACGAGUGUGAGAAUUCAAAAAAGAAUGGGUGCUUCGGCAAAUGUACCAAUACAGAUGGGUCAUUUCAGUGUGAGUGUCCACAUGAAACCCGUGGGAACGCCUACUCGCCGGGUGGCUGCUUCAGUGUUCUCACACGUGAAUGUAGCAGGUCGUGCGGCAAUGUGAGUGUGCCAUACCCAUUCGGCAUUGGGCCAGCCGAGUGCUACAUGCCAGGGUUUAACCUCACAUGCGACACAAGCCAACACCCCCCGUGGCUGAUGCUUGGCAGCCUGCGAGUCAUUGACAUAUCCCUUCAUAACAACACCAUGCAUGUAAUCAACAGCGACAUGGUCCUUGACAUCUAUAGUGGCAUAGGAAAACAAACCUCCACAUUUGAGAGCACGGGCCAUGGAGACAAUGUGCCUUACUCGUUGUUGACAAGGAACGAGCUCAUCCUCAUGGGGUGCGGUGUGCAGGCGGUGCUGUCCGGGGCGGGCAACCCAGCAAUCUUGAGUGGUUGCUCUUCUUUUUGCUCCCCAAACAUCGAGAAUCGCACCUACACCAUCACCUCAAUGGUGCCACCUGCAGCAGGAGGUGGUAGCAAUGAUGACGAUCAAUACUGCUAUGGCAUGGGCUGCUGCCAGGCACGCAUCUCUAUGUCUAACGAUGGAAUGCCCCAUGAAUUAUGGAUUGAUUGGAUGGACCCCAAUACUGCAACAGAUGAGACAUCAUCACACUCCUACGCAUUCAUUGCACAAGAAGGGUGGUUCAACAAGCAUCGGGUAUCAGCUCAGCUACUGCGCUCGUCGUCGACAAAAUAUUUUGUGCCAAGCUUGGAGGUCCCCAUGGUUCUAGAUUGGGAGGUCUUGCAGUUGCAACCCAUUGGCUCACGGGCGGUAGCUAAUGUGAGCUCACCACAUCAAUAUCUCAAGUGUCCUGACAUGUGCAGGAGCAAGAACAGCCUCUGCAAACAAGGGAUCAGAGGAUAUUCAUGUCACUGUAGUGAGGAUUACCAUGGCAACGCGUACGUUAUUGACGGAUGCAAAGGACGUAGGCAAACAUACUUUAAAGGUAUGAGCAUCGUAAUAGGAGCUGCUAUUGGGGCCGGACUCGUACUUCUAGUUCUUGCCGGAUUUUUCGUUACCAAGAAAUUAAAACAUCAUAGGGCUGAAUUGUUGAAACUAAAGUUCUUCCAACUAAACCGUGGACAAUUGUUGCAGCAAUUGGUAUCCCAAAGUGCUGGUAUUGCAGAAAGAAUGAUCAUACCCUUGGAAGAGCUAGAGAAGGCGACACACAAUUUUGAUAAAGAUCUUGUGAUUGGUGGCGGAGGGCAUGGUAUUGUUUAUAAAGGGAUUUUAUCAAACCAACACAUUGUAGCCAUCAAGAAACCCAAGAAGGUGUUUCAGAAGGAGAUCAAUGAUUUUAUAAAUGAGGUGGCAAUACUAUCGCAAAUCAACCAUCGAAAUGUAGUCAAACUCUACGGUUGUUGCCUUGAAACUGAAGUCCCAAUGUUGGUCUAUGAGUUCAUAUCCAAUGGAACCCUUUCUGAGCAUCUUCAUGUCAAAGGACCAAGAUCAUUGCCAUGGACUGAUAGGUUGCGGAUAGCCAUUGAAACAGCCAAAUCUCUUGCCUAUCUUCACUCAACUGCUUCAAUACCUAUCAUACAUAGAGAUGUCAAGUCUGCUAACAUACUUUUGGAUGAUACUUUGACAGCAAAGGUUGCAGACUUUGGAUCUUCAAGGUACAUUCCUAUGGAGAAAUCCGGGGUAAUGACCGGGGCUCAAGGUACAAAGGGAUAUUGGGACCCUAUGUACUUCUACACCGGGCGGCUAACUGAGAAAAGUGAUGUAUACAGUUUUGGGGUCGUCCUCGUGGAACUGCUAACUCGGAAGAAACCAUUUUUAUAUUCUUCCUCUGACGGCAAGGGUCUUGUUUUACAUUUUGUUACGUUGUUUGAAGAAGGCAAUUUGAAUCAGAUAUUGGACCCACACGCUAUAGAGGAAGGUGGCAAGGAAGUCAACAAAGUGGCUAUUAUUGCGGUAGCAUGCAUAAAACUAAGAGGAGAGGAUCGUCCAACCAUGAGGCAAGUUGAGUUGACACUGGAAAGCCUCCGUGCAUCCGAGGAUUACACCUUAGAUAAUGUGGUGGAUAAGAAAGUUGAGAAUAAACAUGUCAUGAUAGAUAUUACAUUUACUGAAGACAAAAGAAGCAACAACUCAACCAGGCCAUACAGUAUGGAAGAAGAGUUCAUGUUAUCCGCAAGAUAUCCUCGGUAG
rnacentral:rRNA from 1 species